rnacentral:tRNA from 1 species
GGCCGCGUGGCGCAACGGAUAACGCGUCGGUCUACGGAACCGAAGAUUGCAGGUUCGAA